GCCCUCGCGCGUCGGCCAGGAACCUCGGCCCCAUGCGGGCGGGCCAGCGCGGCCAGGAGGGCCGGGAAGAGGGGUCCCCGGGGCCCCGGAUGCGCUGAACUCCGGGGAGGGGAUGGGCAGGAGAGAGAGCACACUCCUGGAGCCGCGACGUCCAAACCCGGACGCACUUGAACCCGCAGCGAGGCCCGUGGCUCGCGGCCUUCGGAGAGCACCCGCGCCCCGCGCAGACCGGACGCCGGCCUUGCCCGAUCCUCGGCAUCCUUCGGCGGGGCGGCCAGUCCCAGGGCGCUCGCUGAGGGCCACACCCUGGCCCCAGAGUUUAGCACCGCCGCGGGCAGGGCGCUCCGCUCCCGGACCCCGAAUCUGAAAGCGGAGACCAAGGGCUGCCUGCGGCAAAGCUCGACAUACACUUGAUUUUCUUCCGAUUUGGAGAAAAUGUCACGGGCGAGAGCAAAAAAAAAAAAAAAAAAAAAAAAAAAAACCCUAACUGUAAAUAUUAUUUGGAGAUACGUGAUCAUUUAACACACGGGUGUUAAGUUCAUUCUUGCUGCAAAAGAAGGCCAUUGUACCUCCUGACCCUGAAAGCAAGAUGAAGUCACUGAGACACCAAAGGUUAAUUGCUUGCCCAAAGCCAUGUAGCAACUUGGUUGAAGUUACUUUAGUGUCGAAAGCUCCACAUAUGUGCUUUUCGCAAAAUCAAUAGUCACCCCAUGCAAACGAAGAGAUGGUAAUUAGAGAUGGGACAGACCCCAACAUAUCCUUCAUUUGAAGAUAGAAUAAAUUCAGCAAGAUACCUAAUUAUUAUCAUCAUCUUUCACAAAAACAUAUGUGAUUUUUCCCCCCUACCCAAAUGUUUUAGUGAAAACUGCAACUGUGCAUUAAAAGGCAGUUUUGCAUGCAUAUAUUCAGAGAACAAUAUGGAGAAUCUAUCCCUUGGGAUAAAAAAAAAAACACCCAGCAACAACAAACUUGAAAACAGAUGGUUCUGAUACAGUCUGAUAAGAAUGUAAACAAGAAAAUCUUUGUUGACUUAUUUCAUAGUAAUCAGUAAUAAUUAGUUAUUGUCUAGAGGUGAGUUACAAAUUUCACAAGCAUGGCCACGAACAGCCUCUGAAAAGUGAAGCUAAAUUUGUGACAUCAGUGAGGAAUUACUGACCCCUGCUGAACCCUCCUUAUUAACAUUUUUCUUGAUUGACAUAAAGGAAUGAAACCCUGGAAGAGGAUAAUUUCUGCAUUCUUUGUUUUUUCUUUUGUCAUCAUUUGAUUUAGAGAUAUUAGACCCCUCUGACUAAUCCAUGAAUUUUAAGUUCUUUGAAAAAGAACUUAAAUUUUCUCUACAGCUUAGAGAACUAAAGCUCUCUUUCCUUCCGUUUUUCCUUCCUUCCUUCCUUCCUUCCUUCCUUCCUUCCUUCCUUUCUUCCUUUUUUCUUCCCUCCCUCCCUUCUUUCCUUCCUUCCUUCCUUCCUUCCUUCCUUCCUUCCUUCCUUCCUUCCUUCCUUCCUUCCUUCCUUCAUGGGGUCCACAGUUUAGUUGGAGAGGCAAGUUUGUAAAAAAAUAACUAUCACCCAGUUUGUUAAGAAGUGGGCAAGGGCUGGAUGCCAUGGUUCAUGUCUGUAAUCCCAGCACUUUUCAGAGGCCAAGGAUGAGGAGGAUCACUUGAGCCCAGAAGUUUGAGACCAGCCUGGGCAACAAAAUGAGACUCCAUCUCUACAAAAAAAUUAAAAAAAGAUUAGCUAGGUUUGAUGGUGUAUGUCUGUGGUCCCAAAUACGUGGAAGGCUGAAGCAGGAGGAUCGCUUGAGCCCAGGAGAUCAAGGCUGAAGUGAGUUAUGAUUGCACCACUGCACUCCA
rnacentral:lncRNA from 1 species